AUUGAACGCUGGCGGCAGGCUUAACACAUGCAAGUCGAGCGGGGUGAUGGUGCUUGCACUAUCACUUAGCGGCGGACGGGUGAGUAAUGCUUAGGAAUCUGCCUAUUAGUGGGGGACAACAUCUCGAAAGGGAUGCUAAUACCGCAUACGUCCUACGGGAGAAAGCAGGGGAUCACUUGUGACCUUGCGCUAAUAGAUGAGCCUAAGUCGGAUUAGCUAGUUGGUGGGGUAAAGGCCUACCAAGGCGACGAUCUGUAGCGGGUCUGAGAGGAUGAUCCGCCACACUGGGACUGAGACACGGCCCAGACUCUUACGGGAGGCAGCAGUGGGGAAUAUUGGACAAUGGGGGGAACCCUGAUCCAGCCAUGCCGCGUGUGUGAAGAAGGCCUUAAGGUUGUAAAGCACUUUAAGCGAGGAGGAGGCUCUUUUGGUUAAUACCCAAGAUGAGUGGACGUUACUCGCAGAAUAAGCACCGGCUAACUCUGUGCCAGCCGCCGCAGUAA
rnacentral:rRNA from 1 species